rnacentral:rRNA from 1 species
CCCAAACGAAGCCUAGUGAUAGCUGGUUACUCGAGAAAAGGAUUUUAGUCCAGCUUAAAGUUCUAUAAAUAACUAAAAAUGAACUAUUAACUUUAAAGUAAUUCAAAUAAGGUACAGCCUAUUUGAAACAGGAUACAACCUAAAAAAUGGGUAAUAAACCACAACAUUAAUUAAGUAGGCCUAAAAGCAGCCACCUUUUAAAUAGCGUCAAAGCUUCAUUACUUCCUUACCUAAUACCUAAAAUACUCUUUAACCCCCCUAAACUAUCGAGUACUUCUAUAAGUAUAUAGAAAAUUUUAUGUCAAAACUAGUAACAAGAAUAUGAAUUUCACUAAAUGCAAAUGUAAGUCAGAAAGGACACUCCACUGACAAUUAACACCUAUGUACACCAAUUAAUAACCCCACAAGAAAAACUUAAUAUAUUUAAUGUUAACCUAACACAAGAGCAUUACAAGUCAGAUUUAAAGAAAAAGAAGGAACUCGGCAAAUCUUAACCCCGCCUGUUUACCAAAAACAUCGCCUCUUGAUUAAUUAUAAGAGGUCCAGCCUGCCCAGUGACUCUGUUCAACGGCCGCGGUAUCCUAACCGUGCGAAGGUAGCGUAAUCACUUGUUCUUUAAAUGAGGACUAGUAUGAAUGGCACCACGAAGGUUAUACUGUCUCCUUUUUCUAAUCAGUGAAACUAAUCCCCCCGUGAAGAAGCGGGGAUAAUACUAUAAGACGAGAAGACCCUAUGGAGCUUUAAACCUAAUAACACUGGCUUUCAAACUUUAUUACUCCAGAGUCGCUAGAACACAACACAGCCCCAUGAUUAUUAGUUUUAGGUUGGGGUGACCGCGGAGUAAAAAAUAACCUCCACAUUGCAUGGAAUAAUAUUCCUGAACCAAGAGUAACAGCUCUACGCACCAAAAAACUGACAUCAAAUGACCCAAUUUAUUGAUCAACGAACCAAGUUACCCUAGGGAUAACAGCGCAAUCCGUCUCAAGAGCUCCUAUCGCCAGACGGGUUUACGACCUCGAUGUUGGAUCAGGGUAUCCCAGUGGUGCAGCCGCUACUAAAGGUUCGUUUGUUCAACGAUUAAAACCCUACGUGAUCUG